AAAAUAUUUUUGUUUAGUGAUUGCUCCAAUUUUUUUUCUUUUUUUAAUACAUUGUACUUUUCCUUUAUUUUGGAGGCACGUGGUUAUUUUGUUAGUUUUUUUGAGGACCUAACUUUUUACAAGUUGCCUAAAAUGAUCCACGCACAAACACUCAAACACUGUCUCAAAAGAACAAAACAAAAUGAGCCUUAGGUAUACAGCCGCUCCUCUUAGCCUUAGGUAAAUGUAUGUAUACAUUUGUCUGCCUGAUCGAAUGAUUCAUAAUAAUACUCAGAAAUGGCUUUCACUAGGUUAUUCACGAAGUGUCAAUUAAUGGGAGUUCAAAGUGAAUUUCAAACGUUAGGAUAAAGAAGCCAUACUCAAAACCUAGCUGACUUUUUAUUUUUUCCUGAUACCUUACUUAGUGAAUAACUUUGCCAGGGUCCCUAAGUUAAACUCUACCCCCCGCACUGAUCUUUAAGCUCUCUCAUAACACUGGUUAGAUCCUCCAAUGACUUGCUGUAUAAUAACCUGCACAUCGACGGAGGGUCAUUUAUUAUUUAAAUUAAAACCUCAAUAUUGCUGGAACAAAGAACAUUUCCAAAAUCGUAUUGAAAGUGCAAUAUUUUGAUCUCUUGCUGUACAUAUGGUUCUAUUCAAAGUAUUGUUUAACUUGUAUGAGUUUUUUGUGCUUCUCAUUAUCCCGAAGAUUCUGUUAAAUCUUAAAGUUGUUUUUUUUUCCAAGAUUGAGAAUUACUAGUACUGCUAAGAAAUCAUUUUACCCCAUUCAGUACCACGGUUAAGAAAAUCUUUUUAUAACUGACAUGUCUGAGCUCCUGAAGGAGUUAAAGGGGAAAGGGGUACCCUUCUUCUUACUAGAUAUACCCCGAGAAACUGGACGAUGCCCUCAGAAUCUGUGUAAACUUUAAUAAUGUCGUACUGUUGAAUUUUGAUCAGAAGUCGCUGCUCCAAAAGAGGGCAGAAUUGUUUGCCAAUGUUUGGAUAUGUUUUGUGUGAUUUCUCUUCUUGCCAUAAUGAAUCUGAAUUAUUUGCACAUAUUCAACUAUGACUGCAGAUAUGUUUCCUGUUUACAGUUUAACCUCUUAGAAACCAGAAAGUUCUUCAAAAAAUGGUUUAGCUGCUUUAAAUUUUUUUUAUCUUAUUAUGAUCUCUCAGUGCCACAGCAGUGUUUGGCAGUGUGUUACCAACUCAUGUUUCAAGGGUUAAUCAGAUAAGUACUAACCUUUAAUGGCUCUAAGAAUUCUGGGGAUUGUAGCCUACAACAGUCUAACAGGCAUAUAGCAAACCUUUGGCAUUGUUAUUUCUGUCUCCCCUAACUCUAAGCCAGCCCAUUGGCAGUCUGCAACGCUGGCUGGUUUAGACUUUUUUCCCCCCAAGAUUCUCAAACGUUGGCUAUCCCUGUGGUAAACUGUUUGAAUGUACUGUAAGCAGGUUAUAGUAGCUCAGCCUGGUAUGCAAGAGGUUAAACACUUCAUUCUUUAUUUUCCUGCAAAGACUACGGUUAGUUACUAAAAUGGAACUGGUGAUUAUAGUGAUUUUUAUUCUACAUUUAAUAUUCAUAUACAUAGUGGGUGAAUGUUGUCAUUAAACGUGGCUGGGAUGUUUCACAAUUUAAAUGGGCAUUACUUUUUCUGUUUGUUUUUGAAUCAGUAACAGAUUAUUUUUUUUAAUUAUAAAUUCACAUCAUCAUUUACAGCUUAGUGAUUAUUGAAAAUUUUCCUAAUAAAAACACUAGUGCUUUA